rnacentral:rRNA from 1 species
CCCAGACUCCUACGGGAGGCAGCAGUGGGGAAUAUUGGGCAAUGGACGCAAGUCUGACCCGGCAACGCCGCGUGAAGGAAGAAGGCUUUCGGGUUGUAAACUUCUUUUAAGGGGGAAGAGCAGAAGACGGUACCCCUUGAAUAAGCCACGGCUAACUACGUGCCAGCAGCCGCGGUAAUACGUAGGGGGCAAGCGUUAUCCGGAUUUACUGGGUGUAAAGGGAGCGUAGACGGUAAGGCAAGUCAGAUGUGAAAGCCCGGGGCUCAACCGCGGGACUGCAUUUGAAACUGUCCUACUGGAGUGCAGGAGAGGUAAGUGGAAUUCCUAGUGUAGCGGUGAAAUGCGUAGAUAUUAGGAGGAACACCAGUGGCGAAGGCGGCUUACUGGACAGUAACUGACGUUGAGGCUCGAAAGCGUGGGGAGCAAACAGGAUUAGAUACCCGAGUAGA